rnacentral:tRNA from 1 species
GAAAAAGUAUGCAAGAACUGCUAACUCAUGCUACCAUGUAUAAAAACAUGGCUUUUUCUACU